GAGGUGGCUGCUUGGGACUCCCUCCUCCAGGACAUCGCCCUUAUGCCGAUGAACGUCGAGGAGGCCUCGAAUUCCCUUUCCUGGCGCCUUGAGCCAGCUGGCCGCUUCUCCACGAAGUCCUUGUACGCCGUCAUUGCUCCCUCGGCGGCCCCGGAGCCCUUUAACCUGAUCUGGGACAUCCACCUACCUCUGAAGAUCAGGAUUUUCUUGUGGCAAUGGAUCCAUGGACAUCUUCCCUCUGGGGUUGAAGUCCUCAAGCGUAACGGUCCGGGCGAUGGGAUGUGCCCCAUUUGUGGCACAAUCGAAGAUGCUAACCACAUCUUCUUCUCGUGCUCCAUUGCCCAGUUCCCGUGGGCUUGCUUCGGCGAAACGGUCGGUGGACAGUGGUGCAACACCAACUUCCCCGACUUACUUGCGGAGCUCAACGCUUCCCCUCCUUGCUACCGCCAUAUUAGAUGGCUGUGCGUUGGGGUCCUCGCCUGGACGCUUUGGAACAUCCGCAAUAAGCUUGUUAUUCAGAAAGUGACUCUCCGACGUGCGACUGAUGCAAUCUUCAAAUUGUGUGGCUACUUGCAGCUUUGGCGGCCACUUAGCCGCCCCCAGGACCGGGACGUCAUCACCACCCUCCUCGCUGACCUCCGCUCGACGGCUCUCCGCGUGGUGCCCCUGCUGCCGCCCCCUCCCCCACAACCGGACUAG
rnacentral:rRNA from 1 species